UCUUGGUAUGAAAACCAAGGCUACAAGUUAGAUAUUAAGCUUCCAAUAGCGAUAAAAUUCAAUCACAACAUAUAGUAAUGAUGAAGGAACCAAAAGUGAGCUGAGUGAAAUAUGAAGUGAUGGUGAUUUACUUUCAUUUAUCUGACUAGUUGAG
rnacentral:ncRNA from 1 species